ensembl:lncRNA
GUGGGGAUAAAACCCACACUUUUUACGGACCUUGCCUGCUGCUGCGUUCGGGUGCUGAGGGCCUCACUGGUGAUCCUGUUUGGUGAUGGUGUCCCUUCGUGUGUAGUGUCUUAUUCACUCCCCUCCUUUGUUUUGCUUUGCCCUUGUGUGUUUGGAGUGUUAAUUUUGGAUUGUGGUGCUCCCAUUUUAAGUUUAUACUUUCACCCCUCACUCACCUUGAGCACAAAUGCCCCAGCCCUGGAAUACAUGAUAAUUUAUACAAAUAGGAUAACUUUUUUAGAUUUGAAUUGUGCCCAAUAAACUGUUGUAUAUGCUUUUGGAAACACGUCUCUCGCCUGCUCAGUGUAACGAACUUGUGUUGUCCUUUUGUUUAGAUUUAGUAAUUUACCUUAUUCAUAGAUUUCUUUCUUUUCCCUGGGUGAUUUCUCCCAGGGUGGCGUUGCUGGUUUCCUUUAGUUUCUUUCUUUUUCCCCUAGUUAAAAACAUAGAUUAUUGGGGUAGUUCCUACCCCACCUCACGCUUGCCACAAACUUGGCGUUGCUGGCAGGACUUAUACUGAAAAAAAAAGGGCAGAGACGUGUGUUCCUUUGUUUUUUGUUGUUUGUUUUUUCAGCAGCAGUCCCCUGGCAACCAUGGAGGAAGAAAUGCAAGAGUUGCGAGCUCUGGUUGCGCAGUUAAAGGCUGACAAUGAGAGGUUGCGUCAAGCUUCGUUGGUGCCGCCCUCUAGUGCUACACCUUCAACCUCCUCAGUACUGCCGACUGCCCUUACUUCUGCCAGUGCCCCUGCAGCCGAGAGGUUAGUGUUCGUGCCCCGAGACAGAAAGUGCCCUAUGUUUAGAGGAAGGUCAGGGAUAGCUCUGAGCGAGUGGCUUGAAGAGCUACAGUCGUGUAUGCGGGCUCGUCAUUUAGCCCCAGCUGAUCAGGCCUACUUUCUGUAUGACCAUUUAGAGGGAGAAGCACGGGAGGAAAUUAAAUACCGCCCCAGCACAGAGCGCGGGGAUCCAGCUAGACUAAUCACUAUAUUACAAGAACUCUAUGGCUGUUCUGAGUCGUAUGUGGCCUUGCAGGAAGCAUUCUUCUCUCGUAAGCAACAUGAAGGGGAAACGCUACUCGAAUUUUCGCUCGCUCUCAUGAGCCUUAUGGAAAGGGUGAAGCAGCGUGCACCGCCUGGAAUGCUUAAUACAGA